rnacentral:rRNA from 1 species
CAAUAGCGUAUAUUUAAGUUGUUGCAGUUAAAAAGCUCGUAGUUGGAUUUCGGAUGGGACUUGCCGGUCCGUCGUUUCGAUGUGCACUGGCCAGUCCUAUCUUGUUGUCGGGGACUAGCUCCUGGGCUUCACUGUCCGGGACUAGGAGCUGACGAGGUUACUUUGAGUAAAUUAGAGUGUUCAAAGCAAGCCUACGCUCUGAAUACAUUAGCAUGGAAUAACACGAUAGGACUCUGGCUUAUCUUGUUGGUCUGUGAGACCAGAGUAAUGAUUAAGAGGGACAGUCGGGGGCAUUCGUAUUUCAUUGUCAGAGGUGAAAUUCUUGGAUUUAUGAAAGACUAACUUCUGCGAAAGCAUUUGUCAAGGAUGUUUNCAUUAA